AUUUUGUUUUGUGUUAUGUGCCCGUGGUUUUAUGAAUAGUUUUUCAUUCUGUAUGUUUUCAUAAACAUGGAGUGAAUUUUUCCAUAUGCAGCUUGCAAAUAUCUUGGGUCAUUUCCACUGAUUAACUUGUCCAAGAAAGGUAAUUAUUGGAUUCAGAAAAUUAUUUGAUCCUUCAAGAAGCAUGUUUAUUCCUUUUCCUGAAAACUUAGAACACGAGGAUGAUGCUUGCAGGAUUUAUCAACUGGUUUGCUUCAAUGUGACCAGGGUCCAUUAUUUUAGCCAGAGAAUUAUAUUUUACCACAAUGGAUUUCGAAAAGGUUUCCUUGGAAAGAGAUCUCCAUUUUGCCUGUUCAGCGGCAUGAUUUAUGCUUUGGUUUGUUUGCAUCAAUUAUAGCACCUUUUGGGGGAUUUUUUGCGAGUGGUUUUAAAAGAGCUUUUAAGAUCAAGGAUUUUGGUGAUAAUAUUCCUGAG